GAGAGCAUGGGUAUGGGAACACGGCAGGAUCUUUACAAACACACUUCAGUUUUAUCAUUUGCUUUUGAGCUAUGUAUCUAAACCAAAAGGAGCCUUACUCAAGACAGAGAGCUUCCUUAGCCUUGUUUAUAACUAAACCCUCAAUCUCCCCCUCCAGGGUCUAUUAUAACAUUUACAGAGGGAGAAGCUCGCAUCCUUCCUCCAGAGGAAGACAAAUUGGUUUCCUUGUGUAUACUCAGAGUGGCAUAAGACAAACCACCAUGUCUCCGUACCUAGGCUGAAGUGAUCAGGACAGGAAUGCGAACUCAAGUACAGUGUGCACACGAAUGUUGUAUUUUAUUCCAGGAUGUGUUAAACUGACCCUAGGACAUUAUUUAUCAGAGAAGCCAGUGAUUUACCUGAAGAUUCACCGCCUUAAUCUGACAUCUCACGUUUAUUUUUAUAUAUCCAUGCCAUUGCUAUUAUUAAAACCUUCCCAAGCACACUGCCCUCUACCACUAGCACUACCCAAUCCCAAACUUCCAAAUCAAACCUGCCCCAACAACUACGCUUACCCAAACAAGUGCCCUUGCCCAAACCCCAACCCCAGUGCCCAUACCUUCCAAUGUCAUUAAAGGAAUGGUUGGUUCAUGUGCUA